CUGCGCCCACCCAUCCCGAAGGGAGAAGCGGGAGGUGCUCCGCCGCAGGCUCGCCUUACCGCAAGAGCUUCCUCAGAGGCCUUAAGUGGGCUCUUGUGCUUGGGGCUUUCUGAUUUCUGGCAUCCAGUUGUUGCAGCAGUGAAGCAGAGACUGCCUUGGACUUUUAGAGGAAUUACAGAAGAGGAAAAUAUGCUGCAGGAGGAUGGUACAUUGUGGUAUCUACAGGCAUACCUCGCUCCAUUGCUCUUCACAGAUACUGUGUUUUUUUUUUUUUUUUACAAAUUGAAGGUUUGUGGCAACCCUGCGUCGAGCAAGUCUAUCAGCACUCUUUUUUGCAUCAGCAUGUGCUCACUUUGUGUCUGUGUCACAUUUGGGUAAUUCUCACAAUAUUUCAGACUUUUUCAUUAUUAUGAUAUCUGUUAUGGUGAUCAGUGAUCUUUGAUGUUACUACUGUAAUUGUUUUGGGGUGCCACAAACUGCACCCACAUGAGACAGUGAACUUAAUUGAUAAAUGUUGUGUGUGUCCCAACUGCUCCACUGACCGGCUGUUGCCCUGUCUCUCUCCCUCUCCUCGGGCCUCCCUAGUCCCUGAGACACAACAAUAUUGAAAUUAGGGCAAUUAAUAACCCUACAAUGGCCUCUAAGUGUUCAAGUGAAAGGAAGAGUCACACGUCUCUCACUUGAAAUCAAAAGCUAGAAAUGAUGAAGCUUAGUGAGGAAGGUAUGUCAAAAGCCGAGACUGGUGCAAGAGGCUGAGCUUUCAGCCUAACAGUUCCCCAAGUUGUGAAGGCAAAGGAAAAGGUCUCUAAGGAAAGUCUUAGAAGUGCUACUCCAGUGAACACACAAAUGAUAAGAAAGCGAAACAGCCUUACUGCUGAUAUGGAGAAAGUUGUAGUGGCCUAGAUAGAAGAUCAAACCAGCCACAACAUUCCCUUAAGCCAAAGCUGAAUCCAGAGCAAGGCCCGAACUCUCUUCAAUUCUGUGAAGGCUGAGAGGGGUGAGGAAGCUGCAGAAGAGAAGUUUGAAGCUAGCAGAGGUUGGUUCACAAGGUUUAAGGAAAGAAGCCAUCUCCAUACCAUAAAAGUGCAAAGUGAAGCAGCAAGUGCUGAUGUAGAAGCUGCAGCAAGUUAUCCAGAAGAUCUAGCUAAGAGAAUUGAUGAAGGUGGUUACACUAAAUAACAGAUGUUCAAUGUAGACAAAACAGCCUUAUGUUGGAAGAAGAUGCCCUCUAGGACUUUCAUAGCUAGAAAGGAGAAGUCAAUGCCUGGCUCCAAAGCUUCAAAGGACAGGCUGACAGCAAGAGAACUACAACUGACAGCAGAGACCUAGAAUUAGAAGUGGAGCCUGAAGAUGUGACUGACUUGCUGCAAUCUCAUGA
rnacentral:lncRNA from 1 species